CACCGAGUUGAGCCCUGGAAAGGGCGUUGGCUGUCGAAGGCGGCACGUGUGAUCCUUAUCAACUCGUCGCUUGCCAGCCUUCUGUGGUUCCUCAUGAGCUUUUACAGCCUUCAUGAAACCCUUCAUCAGGAGAUCGCCAAGUACCAGGCCAGAUUUUUCUGGGCUGGCGAGGCAGGCAGACAGAAAUAUCACAUGGUCAGCUGGCCAGACAUCUGCAAACCCAAAGACCAGGGUGGCCUUGGGAUUUUGUCCUCUCAGCGCAUGAACAUCGCCCUCCUCACCCGCUGGCUAUGGCGCAUUGCCAAUGGGGAGGGAGGCCUUUGGUUGACUAUCAUUCGGAACAAGUACCUGCGUGGCCAGCCUCUGGCGUUCUGCCAGCGCUCGGGCGGUUCCCAGUUUUGGCAGGCAGUCGUCCAGCUGCUUCCAGUCCUGAGGAUAGGCACCUCCAUCUCGGUGGGCUCUGGCGCCUCGACCUUGUUUUGGCUUGAUAGGUGGCUAGGGGACUCCCCCCUGGCCGCCCGGUUCCCCAUCCUCUUCGACAUUGUAGUUGACCCUCGGGUCUCGGUCGAGGCGGCCCUUAUUGAC
rnacentral:rRNA from 1 species